UCGGGAAUCUUCGGCAAUGGACGAAAGUCUGACCGAGCAACGCCGCGUGAGUGAAGAAGGUUUUCGGAUCGUAAAACUCUGUUGUUAGAGAAGAACAAGGACGUUAGUAACUGAACGUCCCCUGACGGUAUCUAACCAGAAAGCCACGGCUAACUACGUGCCAGCAGCCGCGGUAAUACGUAGGUGGCAAGCGUUGUCCGGAUUUAUUGGGCGUAAAGCGAGCGCAGGCGGUUUCUUAAGUCUGAUGUGAAAGCCCCCGGCUCAACCGGGGAGGGUCAUUGGAAACUGGGAGACUUGAGUGCAGAAGAGGAGAGUGGAAUUCCAUGUGUAGCGGUGAAAUGCGUAGAUAUAUGGAGGAACACCAGUGGCGAAGGCGGCUCUCUGGUCUGUAACUGACGCUGAGGCUCGAAAGCGUGGGGAGCAAACAGG
rnacentral:rRNA from 1 species